rfam:Trichoderma reesei QM6a unplaced genomic scaffold TRIREscaffold_16, whole genome shotgun sequence.
GGCGGGUUGGUGGAGUGGUCUAACACGUGCGACUCAAGAGAAUAUCUUGAUCCUUCGAAAGGAUUUCGCAUCUCGCAAGAGGCGUGGGUUCGAAUCCCACACCCGUCA